rnacentral:rRNA from 1 species
UACGUAGGGUGCGAGCGUUGUCCGGAAUUAUUGGGCGUAAAGAGCUCGUAGGCGGUUUGUUGCGUCUAUCGUGAAAACCUGCGGCUUAACUGUGGGCUUGCGGUGGAUACGGGCAGACUUGAGUUCGGUAGGGGAGACUGGAAUUCCUGGUGUAGCGGUGAAAUGCGCAGAUAUCAGGAGGAACACCGGUGGCGAAGGCGGGUCUCUGGGACGGUACUGGACGCUGAGACGCGAAAGCGUGGGGAGCGAACAGG